GCUCCGGUGGCACAAUCGGUUAGCCCGCCGUACUUAUAAUGCGGAGGUUGUGAGUUCGAUCCUCACCCGGAGCA
rnacentral:tRNA from 1 species